GAAAAUUGUGAAAAAUUUGAGCCCAACUCCAAGGUAUACUUGGAUCAUAAUAUCUUUGAAAGUUUUAGUUGCAAUUGUUUACACUAGUAUGCAUCUAUUUUGUGUUUCAAUGCUGAAUGUCCAAGACGAUCACAAAUUUGAGAGUAGUACUGGUUUAUUGGAUACUCAUGUUUCUACUCCUCAAGAUCAAGGACUAUCCGGUAGAAACUUAUUCCCCUUCUCACACAUACUAUCCUAUAAAUAACAGUGACUCUGCAGUGUCCUUUGAAGCUUUUUUGGUGAGAGAUCGAACUUCAGAUGAUGUCGAAAAUGGUUUGUCUCAACCUCAAAAUAGAGCAGCAUUUAGAAUGAGUGCUCUGCAGGUAAGGAGAUUGAACUUUUAUAUGUGUAUAUAAUUAUAUUUUAUUCAGCUCAGUAUUUGGAAUCCUUCUAGUUCAUUCAAAGUGUUUCAUAUUGUAGAUAAGUUCCCUUCCUUGAUGCCCAAAUCAAGCACCGAACCCGGUAUACAAGAAAAC
rnacentral:lncRNA from 1 species